rnacentral:tRNA from 1 species
GAGGGUAUAGCUCAGUGGUAGAGCACAUGAUUAGCAUGCAGGAGGUCAUGGGUUCAAUCCCCAGUACCUCCA